rnacentral:rRNA from 1 species
UACAGAGGUCUCAAGCGUUGUUCGGAUUUAUUGGGCGUAAAGGGCGCGUAGGCUGCGGGGCAAGUCGGGUGUGAAAUCUCAGAGCUCAACUCUGAAACUGCACUCGAUACUGCUUUGCUUGAGGACUGGAGAGGAGAUUGGAAUUCACGGUGUAGCAGUGAAAUGCGUAGAUAUCGUGAGGAAGACCAGUGGCGAAGGCGGAUCUCUGGACAGUUCCUGACGCUGAGGCGCGAAGGCCAGGGGAGCAAACGGG